GGGGUCGUGGCCUAGUCCGGCAUGGCGACAGGCUCCAGACCUGUCGAUCGUGAGUUCAAAUCUCACCGACCCCA
rnacentral:tRNA from 1 species